rnacentral:rRNA from 1 species
UACGUAGGGUGCGAGCGUUAAUCGGAAUUACUGGGCGUAAAGCGUGCGCAGGCGGUUUUGUAAGCCGGAUGUGAAAUCCCCGGGCUUAACCUGGGAAUGGCAUUCGGGACUGCAAGGCUGGAGUGCGGCAGAGGAGACUGGAAUUCCUGGUGUAGCAGUGAAAUGCGUAGAUAUCGGGAGGAACACCGGUGGCGAAGGCGGCGACCUGGGUCGAGACUGACGCUGAGGCGCGAAAGCGUGGGGAGCAAACAGG